rfam:Chelonia mydas contig176832, whole genome shotgun sequence.
GCCUUCUUAGCACAGUUGGCAGUGCAUCAGUCUCAUAAUCUGAAGGUCCUGAGUUCAAGCCUCAGAGAGGGCA